AUGAUUUUUGAUGCAGGAUUUCUUAUUUUCUUGACAUUGUGUUUUACCAGCAAACAGACUAAUCGGCGUUGUCAAGCAGAUUGCUGGAGGAUUCUUGACAUUGUGUUUUAACAGCAAGCAUAUUUCUUGAAGCUGUGUUUUAACAACAAGCAGAUUUCUUGACGCUGUGUUUUAACAGCAAGCAGAUUUCUCGACAUUGUGUUUAACAGCAAGCAGAUUUCUUAACACUGUGUUUUAACAUCAAGCAGAUUUCUUGACGCUGUGUUUUAACAGCAAGCAGAUUUCUCGACGCUGUGUUUUAACAGCAGCAGAUUUCUUGACGUAACAACAGCAGAUUUCUUGACGCUGUGUUUUAACAGCAGCAGAUUUCUUGACGCCGUGUUUUACCAUCAUGCUUUUUGAAUAUCUUCCCUAUAAUGUAAAAUACAACACCUUUUAAACAAAAACGUAAUGAAAAAGACACCGUUCAAGUUCUAGUAUAACAGACUUGGAUAAACAGUGUUUAUAGCUGAAAAAACAAAGUUAUGAAAUCUAGACUUGAAAUAUAUACAAAAAACACACCUUUCCCAGUCGAUUCCUUCUUUUAAGGUUUUUUUUUGGGAUAGAUCAGAGUGUAAUUCUUCUCCAUUGUUUUCAGUAUUCUUGAAUCUUGUUCCUAUAAAAGAAAUCACAAAAAAAGACACAUUGGUGAUGAAUAAUCGAGAUCUAAAACACAAUUAUCAAGUUAAAAAGCAUCUUACGCUUUUAUUGGAGUCCAUAUUUCUUAUCUACAUACAUGGAUUCAAGCUAAUUUUAGUAUGAUUUAGGUUUAACAGAAGUGGGUUUUUUGGAGAGAGAGAGAGAGAAUCACAUGAAUAAUGGAGAGAGAGAGAGAGAGAGAGGGAAAAUCGUAGAUUAGAAGGGGUGGGGGUUUGAUUGACGGUACAUUGACAAAAUUGCCCUUAGUCUUU
rnacentral:lncRNA from 1 species